CUUCAUGAAAGUUGUAGAGGACAUUAAACCGAGUGCGUGCAUAUGUGGUACGUAAAAAUCGGAGUUCGUAUGCGAAAGUUAUAAGCGAAAUAUGAAAGUUACUGUUUUUGGUAGAUUGGUAUAAAUUUGAAAUGUUACUGUAGCCAGGUAACUUUUCUUUCUUUUCUCUCUCCUUCCCCCGUGCUCUCUCAGUUUCUCUCUUCUGCAACUCUCUCUUUCUCUCUUCUGCAACCUCCUCUUUCACCACCUCUAGACCACCAAAUGGCGAGCUGCGAGCAUCGAUAGACUCGUCUCUUCCUCCUUAUCACGCAUGUGGGAGUUGUUUACGACGAUUUGGCCGGAAAUGUGGAGAUCGAAGCCAACAUUUUUACUGUAGCAAAUUAGUCAACGCCGAUUUCCGGCCACCUCCAGUCAUAAACCCAGGUCCAUUAGAAGCGCCUUAAGCCGCUCUUCAUGCUCGCCAAGUCUCAUAACCCAGAUCGAAGCAUGGAGGAAGAAAGCAUAAUUGGAAAAUUUCACUGUACAUCGGAGUGCUUAAUUGUUCGGCUACUUCAAGGGCAAUGUUGCGAGCUACGGCUAGAUGAAGGAACUCGUUUUCGUGGUCGCCAACCAGUAUUAUUUAUAUUUGGCUUUUAGAAGACGCAGCGGGAAUUAGAGCGGGUAAUCCUACAGGACAGGAGAACCAGGACGGUGAUCGUGCGGUUAGAGCAAUUGUUAGAGUUUUACAACAAUUGUAAGUUGUGAGGUGUGUUAUGCUCAUUUGAGCUUUAUAAUAUAUUGUGAGAGUGAAUUGUAAUAAUGAACUCGAAGUUUCGAGAUUUGGUUUUUUUGUAAUUGUAAUUAUUCAGGUUUCGGAUUUGAAUUUAUUAUUCAAAAUUCGGGGCGUGACAGUUUGGUAUCAGAGCGUAAGGUGCAUAUUUGGUGAUGUGUCAAUACCUUCCGAGUGAUGGCCCGUCUGCAGCGGAUCCCCAUCGUGUGCUCUUCGGUAUUGGCUAAGUCAUUGGGUAUGCGUGAGUGUUGGGAGUUGUUUAGGCCGCUAGGUCGUUUUAGGAACGUGAAUACCUUCCCUAUAGUAUUGACUUGGUUAAUAUGAAUUUGUAUUUGACUUAUACUGUGUUUUAGGUGUUAUACAUGUAUUAGCCAAGCAUACUAUACUCCUUAGGUGAUGGAGAUUCGAAGGGGUUGUACUUAGAACCUUACAGUUGUCUUGUAGGUUCGUAUUGGAAUAAGUUCAGUGGCCGCGAGUUACAAUCCUUGAGGAAUAGAAACCUCUUGAUUCAACUCUGUUAAGUCAACGAGGAUUGUUUUAUGGAAAUGAGGUUCUUUUGAUUGUUGAAGUGUUUGGUUGAAGGCAUGGUGUGGACCUAUGCUCGUCUGUAAUGUGGAUACGAGUAUUAAUCGAUAGUAAUUUUGCCUUUUUAAGUUGGAUAUACUAAUGUUUUUGAAUAGAUUCUUGACUCAUGUGGAGUUGUGAGUAGUGUUGCGGUUAGGGAAGGAAUUAUUGUGGUUAAUUCUUCCAUGUGUUUGUAAGUUGUUGAGCAGAGUUUGAGGUGCGAGAACGGAGUUUGAUCUUGUGUUUGAGUGAUUGAGACGAACGACUAUAUAUUUAAGUUAUCUACAAGUACCUAUAAUCAUAAGGGUUAUUGAAGUGGGACUAGUAGUAAUUUUAGUGAUUCUAAAAUUGAAUCGAGUUCGAGGAACGUGUUUUAUAUACGUGGUUGAUGUUGCGAGCAUCAUUUUUGAUUGAUAUUUUGCGUUUCACAAAGACAACUGGAUUGGAAAUUCUCCAUUUGGACACCUUGGUCUGUUGACCUGACUAUGACUUGUGGACAUAGUUUUAUUUAAGUGAAGGAAAUUGAUUUUGUGAACUAGUUUUCUUAAGUUUUGGAUCGUAGUAUGGAGUUGGACUGAAGUGAAUUUGAGGUUGUUUGUGUUUUAAGUUUAAGUAGGCGGGACACUUAAAGUUUUGAAAUGGAGUUGAUUUUGGUGUAAUUAAUUGGGAAAGUUAGAAUCAGUUCUUGUGAAGGAUGUUGGAUGAGAGUGUGUGCCUUUGGUGAUUGAUCUUAGGUGAUAUAGUUAAACGCAAUUUCGGAUAUUGAUUUUAGUGACUUUGUUAGGUAUAUCCAUAGUGGUUCAAGUGAAUUACUAUGUGAUAUGGAGUUUGAUUCGGUUUCUAAAUCGUAAAUUCAUAGGGUAUGAAUUGUGGUAAGUUUAAUGGAGCAAUUAAUAGAGGAAAUGGUUGAGAUUUUAUAAGAUUUGUAUGGGUAACUCUAAGGAUGUGGGUUUUUCCUAGCUAACUCAGGAUGUGUUUAGCUUUAUUAAACCCUAAUUCUAACGACGAAAUUGUUUGUGUUUGGUUUGACUCAGAGGAUACUAGCUAGACCUCGAUGCGACUUAUUUGAUUGUUGGAUUCUUUUUGAGUGAUUGUUUUUAUUGCAUCAUUAUGAAAGAUGUGUGCAGUAGAGUUGUUUAUGGUUUUGAAAAUAGUAUU